AAAUGAUUGUUGUCAUUCAUCAAUAUACGAAUAGGAUCAUUUUUCUUAAAGAAGAAAGUGAUACAGUUUUAUAUCCAAGUCCAUAUGAAAACUGGGAAAAAUGAAAUGUAGACAGAAAGAAGUAUACAUUCAAGAAAAAUGGAAGAAUGUUUAUAGAAGAUGGGAAGGCCAUCUUAUUCGAAGACCAGGAUGAUGGAAUUUCUGCCAUCUUGUGGUUGCAACAGCUCCUUGGGCCCUGUAGCAGGGAGAGAGAAGAGAUUCUCAGUGGGCUUUCCACUGCCUCCGCCCAGGACUGCUUGUGGCUUCUACUCACAUUUCAUUGGCCAUAGCUAAUCACAUGGUCUUCCAAACUUCAAAGGAGCUGAGGAAUUUGGGGACUGGCUGAAAUGAUUAGCUAAAACUGUCUCUCACCUGAACUGUCUCACACUUAAACCUAAGUGUGCAUUUUUGACACAGGCUGACAUUUCCAAAAUCAAGUAUUCAAGAAGGAAGAAGAUGGUUGAGAAAGAGAAAACCAUUACCAAACCCUCAUUUUUAGCCACUAAUUCCA